GUACGACGGAGCACGUGAAAUUCCGUCGGAAUCUGGGAGGACCAUCUCCUAAGGCUAAAUACUCUCUAGUGACCGAUAGUGAACCAGUACCGUGAGGGAAAGGUGAAAAGCACCCCGGAAGGGGAGUGAAAUAGAACCUGAAACCGUGUGCUUACAAGUAGUCAGAGCCCGUUAAUGGGUGAUGGCGUGCCUUUUGUAGAAUGAACCGGCGAGUUACGAUUUGAUGCAAGGUUAAGCAGUAAAUGUGGAGCCGUAGCGAAAGCGAGUCUGAAUAGGGCGUUUAGUAUUUGGUCGUAGACCCGAAACCAGGUGAUCUACCCUUGGUCAGGUUGAAGUUCAGGUAACACUGAAUGGAGGACCGAACCGACUUACGUUGAAAAGUGAGCGGAUGAACUGAGGGUAGCGGAGAAAUUCCAAUCGAACCUGGAGAUAGCUGGUUCUCUCCGAAAUAGCUUUAGGGCUAGCCUCAAGUGAUGAUUAUUGGAGGUAGAGCACUGUUUGGACGAGGGGCCCCUCUCGGGUUACCGAAUUCAGACAAACUCCGAAUGCCAAUUAAUUUAACUUGGGAGUCAGAACAUGGGUGAUAAGGUCCGUGUUCGAAAGGGAAACAGCCCAGACCACCAGCUAAGGUCCCAAAAUAUAUGUUAAGUGGAAAAGGAUGUGGCGUUGCCCAGACAACUAGGAUGUUGGCUUAGAAGCAGCCAUCAUUUAAAGAGUGCGUAAUAGCUCACUAGUCGAGUGACACUGCGCCGAAAAUGUACCGGGGCUAAACAUAUUACCGAAGCUGUGGAUUGUCCUUUGGACAAUGGUAGGAGAGCGUUCUAAGGGCGUUGAAGCAUGAUCGUAAGGACAUGUGGAGCGCUUAGAAGUGAGAAUGCCGGUGUGAGUAGCGAAAGACGGGUGAGAAUCCCGUCCACCGAUUGACUAAGGUUUCCAGAGGAAGGCUCGUCCGCUCUGGGUUAGUCGGGUCCUAAGCUGAGGCCGACAGGCGUAGGCGAUGGAUAACAGGUUGAUAUUCCUGUACCACCUAUA
rnacentral:rRNA from 1 species